AUUGAACGCUGGCGGCAUGCCUUACACAUGCAAGUCGAACGGCAGCACGGGUGCUUGCACCUGGUGGCGAGUGGCGAACGGGUGAGUAAUAUAUCGGAACGUACCUUAUUGUGGGGGAUAACGCAGCGAAAGCUGUGCUAAUACCGCAUAAUCCCUAAGGGGGAAAGCGGGGGACCGUAAGGCCUCGCGCAAUUAGAGCGGCCGAUACCUGAUUAGCUAGUUGGUGAGGUAAAGGCUCACCAAGGCAACGAUCAGUAGCUGGUCUGAGAGGACGCUCAGCCACACUGGGACUGAGACACGGCCCAGACUCCUACGGGAGGCAGCAGUGGGGAAUUUUGGACAAUGGGGGCAGCCCUGAUCCAGCAAUGCCGCGUGAGUGAAGAAGGCCUUCGGGUUGUAAAGCUCUUUUGUCAGGGAAGAAACACCGGCUCUAACACAGUCUGGGAAUGACGGUACCUGAAGAAUAAGCACCGGCUAACUACGUGCCAGCCGCCGCAGUAA
rnacentral:rRNA from 1 species